AUUGAACGCUGGCGGAAUGCUUUACACAUGCAAGUCGAACGGCAGCACGGGGGCAACCCUGGUGGCGAGUGGCGAACGGGUGAGUAAUACAUCGGAACGUGCCCAGUCGUGGGGGAUAACUACGCGAAAGCGUAGCUAAUACCGCAUACGAUCUACGGAUGAAAGCGGGGGACUCGCAAGAGCCUCGCGCGAUUGGAGCGGCCGAUGGCAGAUUAGGUAGUUGGUGGGGUAAAGGCUCACCAAGCCGACGAUCUGUAGCUGGUCUGAGAGGACGACCAGCCACACUGGGACUGAGACACGGCCCAGACUCCUACGGGAGGCAGCAGUGGGGAAUUUUGGACAAUGGGCGCAAGCCUGAUCCAGCCAUUCCGCGUGCAGGAUGAAGGCCCUCGGGUUGUAAACUGCUUUUGUACGGAACGAAACGGCGCUCUCUAAUACAGGGCGCUAAUGACGGUACCGUAAGAAUAAGCACCGGCUAACUACGUG
rnacentral:rRNA from 1 species